rnacentral:rRNA from 1 species
UACGGAGGGUGCGAGCGUUGUCCGGAAUCACUGGGCGUAAAGGGCGCGUAGGUGGCCUGUGGAAGUCUGCGGUGAAAGCCCGGCGCUCAACGCCGGGUCGGCCGUGGAUACUCUCGGGCUUGAGCUUACUAGAGGCAGAUGGAAUUCCGGGUGUAGCGGUGGAAUGCGUAGAGAUCCGGAAGAACACCGGUGGCGAAGGCGGCUCUCUGGGACGGUACUGACGCUGAGACGCGAAAGCGUGGGGAGCGAACAGG